AUGAACGCUAGCGGCAGGCCUAAUACAUGCAAGUCGAACGGUAGAUCGGGUAGCAAUACUUGAUUGAGAGUGACGUAAGGGUGCGUAACACGUAUGCAAUCUACCCUCAACAGGAGUAUAGCUCGGGGAAACUCGGAUUAACACUCCAUAACAUUACGAUGUGGCAUCACAUUGUGAUUAAAACUCCGGUGGUUGAGGAUGAGCAUGCGUCUGAUUAGUUAGUUGGAGGUGUAACGGACCCCCAAGACGAUGAUCAGUAGGGGAACUGAGAGGUUGAUCCCCCACACUGGCACUGAGAUACGGGCCAGACUCCUACGGGAGGCAGCAGUAGGGAAUAUUGGUCAAUGGGUGAGAGCCUGAACCAGCCAUGCCGCGUGCAGGAAGACGGCCUUCUGGGUUGUAAACUGCUUUUAUCUGGGGAUAAAAAGCCCAUGCGUGGGACAUUGAAGGUACCAGAUGAAUAAGCACCGGCUAACUACGUG
rnacentral:rRNA from 1 species